CAAUAGCGUAUAUUAAAGUUGUUGCGGUUAAAAGCUCGUAGUUGGAUUUCUGUAGAAGGUGACCGGUCCCCACUUCGUGGGAGUAUCAGGUUUGUCUUCUGCAUCCUCUUGAGUGUCGUAUCUGUUCUUAGUUGGAUGGGUGCGAAGUUCAAGACUUUUACUUUGAGGAAAUUAGAGUGUUCACGGCAGGCUCCGCUUGAAUACAUUAGCAUGGAAUAAUAAUAUAGGGUGUAAGUUCUAUUUUGUUGGUUCUGAGGACAUACGCAAUGAUUAAUAGGGACAAUUGGGGGCAUUCGUAUUAACGCGUCAGAGGUGGAAUUCUUAGAUUGCGUUACGACGAACUACUGCGAAAGCAUUUGCCAAGGAUGUUUUCAUUGAUCAAGAACGAAAGUUAGGGGAUCGAAGAUGAUCAGAUACCAU
rnacentral:rRNA from 1 species